rnacentral:lncRNA from 1 species
UAUCAAGAAAUAAUAGCAACCACCACAUUAAAAAGAAAUUAACCGACAAAAUGAAAGAUUUGCUUGGCUGAGAGUAUGAGAGAAUGUGUACAGUUGUAGCUUAGCUCUUACUUACUAUUAAUUACUUUACUGUGGUCUUCGGAGUAGGAAACAAGAUGGUUUAGUCAAGAUAACAGGGAAUGGUAGGAGCCCAAAGUUUACAGUGAAGGAGUGAACAGUCACAGAAUUUUCUCCAAAGAACCGAUGAGAAAACUUAAUCCUAUGCAUGUACAGAUCUAAUACAACCCAGGCAAAUGUUGAAUCUGCAUGUAUGGCAAUCAGUACUGGUGACAAAUGCAGUUGUGCCUCACUUGCAUAUCAGUGGGUGGGUGACAUGUAAGACCCCUCCCAGCUUGCUGGCUUGAACCAACAUAUAGACCAUCGGCAGGUUACCGUGAGGAUACUUGUUCACUGAAUCAUGAAAUGGUUUGGGUUGGAAGGGAUCUUAAAGACCAUCUAGUCCCAGCCCCUGCCAUGUGCAGGGACACCUCCCGCUGGAUCAUGCUGCCCAGGGCCCCAAAGUGGCCUUUCAGGUCCCAAUGUGCCAGAGAAGAGUUUUAUUACAACACUCUUAUUUUUUUUUUAUUUUAUUUUAUUUUUGUCAGCAGAUUAGAGAACUAUAUAAAACCAAACCUUCAUCUGUCUGCAUACAAAACUUCUUGCACACAGGACAUCUCAUUGCUGAAAGGCCAUCACCCUCUAGAGAACAUGCCAUGUUCUCCAAGCAGUGAAGGUGUUGGAUGCUCACUGCCUGCUGUGCAGAACGACUCAUGGAUGGUGGUCCAGAUAUUCUCUCCAAAGAAGCAAGUCUUUUGGAAACUGCAUUACACCAUCAGCAUGGUAUUAGGUACUAAUUGCCAGGCGAUCCCAUUGAAUGCCAGCUGGAAUAAGAUUAGCUCAUCCUGAACCUGAGACAUGAAACAAUGGCUGCCAGAGACUCCUGGUAUAAGAAAGUGGUUACUGUUGCUUGGGAAAACAAUAAUAUGCCCCCUCCUCCACGUCCACUAUUGCUUUACGAUCCUCAGAACUUCUAUUAAAUCAAGACUGAGUUUGCACAUACCUCAGAAAAGAGUCCAAAUCCAAGAACUGUUUGUGAAGUAGCUAAAAUACUUGUUUGUUAAGAAAGUGUGAUCUCGUGAUCUUAAUUCUAAAUAUUAAUUUGCAUUUUUGUAUUUGUUUUGCAUUGAAAAUCCUUUCUAAAAUACUUAAAAGUGGGAAGGAAAAUCAUAGGAUUUGCAAGAAUAAUGAGAAUAAAUAAAUAAACAAUAUUUUUAAAUAAGAAUAA